CUGGCCAAGAUACCUGCUAUGGUUAUUUUUUAAUAGUUGUAAAAUCUGCUUUCUACCUCACUCAUAAUAAAUAUUUGACAAUGUCACCUGUUUAUAGUGACACUCAUUGAGCAAACAUAAAUAAAGCUUUUUUUAUUAUCAGUUAUAUCAUUAUCAUUACUAAAAUAAAUCAUAUAAUUAUUAACCGUGAUUGUAAAUUGGCAUUAAUUUCAUAGAUUAUUAUUCUCAUUAUUAUCCUUAUUAUCACUGUCAUUACUGCUGUCGUUGUUGUUAUUAUUAGUAUUUCACUAUUAUUAUUAUCAUUAUUGAUGUUAUUUUCAUUAUUACUAUUACUGUCAUUAUUAUUAUAAUUAUUAUUAUCUUCAUCAUCACCACCAUCAUCACCAUUGCCAUUCUACUCUCUCACUAUCCUCACUAUAGUAAUUACACUCGCACCUCACACAUCAUGAGCUGAUAAAAUUGUUCUUAGGUGCAGCCGGCUUUCAACACACAGCUAUCCAGGAUCUGUUUUUCCUUUCGACCUUUUUCUCUGUCCUUAAUUCCUUCUUUCUCUAUAAUAUCCAUGUGUUCUUACCUCAUGGUACCUUUUGCGUUGGAUUAAGGUGAGAGGAAUGGAGUGAAGAGAUGUGCAGUAUGCACUGGUAUAAAAGAAAGAAAAAAGACGGAUAAAAGUGAUAAAGAACAAAAUCCUUAAUUGAUUGAAUCCGAAAGAGAAGAACAGAAACAGAAAAAGAAGGAGAUUUUGAGAGUAUUAUAGAAUCGCAUGAAGGUGUCUAUAAUCGUUCCAACAUGGACAAUUCUGCACUUGGUAAAAAUAUAUAUAUACGAAAAAAAAGUUGGUAUUUCCACAAUCCUCUCUGUGACAUUCUUGGAAAACUUUAAAUCGGCGGUGCAGCCUGGAAAAGACCGAAGUUUCAAGUCUCUGCCGUUGGAAGUUAAGAACGAGACUUUCCAUUUACAUCUUUUAUAUACAAAGGCUUAAAUAAAACAGGGAAUGGACGUCUUGAGGCUUAAAUAAAACAGGGAAUGGACGUCUUGGGAGAGAGGAAAACAACAAAUCACCGUCAUCAGAUCUCCUUUGAUAAUGGAUCCCAACUUUCUAUGGAUGGUGACAUAUUCGUCUGGGCGAAGAGAGAAGCCACGUAAUAAUUAACGUCUCUUCUCAGUCUCUUUUUCACGAGGAAUCAAUAAAUUACAAAACAAGAUGAGAGAAAACAGUGAAACAAAACAGAGGAAGAUAAAUCAGUGAAACAAAAAUCAAAGAAAGAAAAGCUAGAUAAACAGAAAACAAAAGAAGAAAAAUGAAGGAAUCAAAGGAAAAUGAAAAACGCGAAUUUGUAGAAAUUAAAAAGAGAGAAAAUAAACGCAAAUUAAAAUAAUUUCUAGAUAAUAUAUGCCAAAGAAGUAAAAGCGUAGAAAAGGAACAUAAAUCUAAAGGGACAGAAGUCAGUACAAAGAGACUGGAUUAAUCUGAACACCAACAGAAAAGAAAUUAAGAAAAAGGAACACACACAAGAAAAAGAAAAGCUGAAGGUAGCUAGCUACCAGGAAACUGAAAAAAAUAGUUAUAAAGAAGAGGGGCGAAACCCCUUGCGUGGUGAUUUUUUGGUUGGUCGACGCUGUGUGGAGGGUUGGAGGCAUGUUUUAAUUGGUUGAAUAUCAUAGAGCCAGGUCAGUUUCAUACGAGACACCUUUAUUUUCGUCUGCCAAGUGUUAUCAUAGCAGGAGAUGGUCCUGUAAUGGUAUCCAGUUGCAGGCGAGACCCUCGCCUGCCUCCUUUCCAUCUCGUGUGAGGUGGAACCGAAGUCCAGUGGGUCCCUCUAUUUUAUAUUUAUUUGAACAACUUACCGCUUGGACAUAGUGAUCUGCAAAAAAGAAAAGAAAAAAAAAAAA
rnacentral:lncRNA from 1 species